rnacentral:tRNA from 1 species
GCUUAUGUAGCUUAUCAAUAAAGCAAAGCACUGAAAAUGCUUAGAUGGAUAGUUCUAUCCCAUAAACA